UGAAGCUUCUUACUGUUAAGACAAUUUCUCAUGAGUCUGGUGAGCACUCUGCACAAGGAAAAACCAAGAACUGACAGCUUGAGGAAGUCUCCCCACACCUAAGCAAUAAUUAUGCUUAAUCUUCAGCUUCCAUGCUCCAAGGGGGAAAUGAGAAAGUCCUGCAGAAUCAAUCCCGACUUCCACACCUGCUGCUGGCCUGUACACCAGUCGUCAGUCCCAGUAAAAUGAUGUCC
rnacentral:lncRNA from 1 species